CCUUCGGGGACGUACGGCGUCGAGCGGCGGACGGGUGAGUAAUGCCUAGGAAAUUGCCCUGAUGUGGGGGAUAACCAUUGGAAACGAUGGCUAAUACCGCAUGAUGCCUACGGGCCAAAGAGGGGGACCUUCGGGCCUCUCGCGUCAGGAUAUGCCUAGGUGGGAUUAGCUAGUUGGUGAGGUAAGGGCUCACCAAGGCRACGAUCCCUAGCUGGUCUGAGAGGAUGAUCAGCCACACUGGAACUGAGACACGGUCCAGACUCCUACGGGAGGCAGCAGUGGGGAAUAUUGCACAAUGGGCGCAAGCCUGAUGCAGCCAUGCCGCGUGUGUGAAGAAGGCCUUCGGGUUGUAAAGCACUUUCAGUCGUGAGGAAGGUAGUGUAGUUAAUAGCUGCAUUAUUUGACGUUAGCGACAGAAGAAGCACCGGCUAACUCCGUGCCAGCAGCCGCGGUAAUACGGAGGGUGCGAGCGUUAAUCGGAAUUACUGGGCGUAAAGCGCAUGCAGGUGGUUUGUUAAGUCAGAUGUGAAAGCCCGGGGCUCAACCUCGGAAUAGCAUUUGAAACUGGCAGACUAGAGUACUGUAGAGGGGGGUAGAAUUUCAGGUGUAGCGGUGAAAUGCGUAGAGAUCUGAAGGAAUACCGGUGGCGAAGGCGGCCCCCUGGACAGAUACUGACACUCAGAUGCGAAAGCGUGGGGAGCAAACAGGAUUAGAUACCCUGGUAGUCCACGCCGUAAACGAUGUCUACUUGGAGGUUGUGGCCUUGAGCCGUGGCUUUCGGAGCUAACGCGUUAAGUAGACCGCCUGGGGAGUACGGUCGCAAGAUUAAAACUCAAAUGAAUUGACGGGGGCCCGCACAAGCGGUGGAGCAUGUGGUUUAAUUCGAUGCAACGCGAAGAACCUUACCUACUCUUGACAUCCAGAGAACUUUCCAGAGAUGGAUUGGUGCCUUCGGGAACUCUGAGACAGGUGCUGCAUGGCUGUCGUCAGCUCGUGUUGUGAAAUGUUGGGUUAAGUCCCGCAACGAGCGCAACCCUUAUCCUUGUUUGCCAGCGAGUAAUGUCGGGAACUCCAGGGAGACUGCCGGUGAUAAACCGGAGGAAGGUGGGGACGACGUCAAGUCAUCAUGGCCCUUACGAGUAGGGCUACACACGUGCUACAAUGGCGCAUACAGAGGGCGGCCAACUUGCGAAAGUGAGCGAAUCCCAAAAAGUGCGUCGUAGUCCGGAUUGGAGUCUGCAACUCGACUCCAUGAAGUCGGAAUCGCUAGUAAUC
rnacentral:rRNA from 1 species